AAUAGGUAGCUUGUUAAUGCAAAGUAUGCCUAAAGUGGAUAUGUGCUAUUUCAUUAGGACAGUGAACCUGAAUUAUUUAUCCAUUGUUAUGUUUAUGUUGAUUUGGUAUGAGAAAUGCUGUGCUGAAUCAGUGACUCAGUCAAAACACUUUAUAACGGCGUAUGAGGGAAUGAACAUUACAUUAGAUUGCUUACAUGAUACAGUUACUAGCAGAAUGUUUUGGUACAUUCAAGACCUUGGUGGCAUACCUGAACUUAUUGCUGAGAGUUAUGUAGAACCAAAAGAUUAUUCACCAAGAAUUCGUGGAAGAGCAGAAGCUGUUUUUAACAGAACUCAGAAAGCCUUCCCCCUGACUCUGUCUUUCCUGAAGAUGUCUGAUAGUGCCGUCUAUUAUUGUGUCUUGAGUGCACAGUGUGUUACAGCAGUACAGCCUGUAAUACAAAUUCAGGAAACGGCAAACCAUUGCAAAAUAGAAAUGAUCAACAACUGAGAAAGUUGCAUUAACAUGAAUUAAUGUACAUACUA